AGAGUUUGAUCAUGGCUCAGAUUGAACGCUGGCGGCAGGCCUAACACAUGCAAGUCGAACGGUAACAGGAAGCAGCUUGCUGCUUCGCUGACGAGUGGCGGACGGGUGAGUAAUGUCUGGGAAACUGCCUGAUGGAGGGGGAUAACUACUGGAAACGGUAGCUAAUACCGCAUAACGUCGCAAGACCAAAGAGGGGGACCUUCGGGCCUCUUGCCAUCGGAUGUGCCCAGAUGGGAUUAGCUAGUAGGUGGGGUAACGGCUCACCUAGGCGACGAUCCCUAGCUGGUCUGAGAGGAUGACCAGCCACACUGGAACUGAGACACGGUCCAGACUCCUACGGGAGGCAGCAGUGGGGAAUAUUGCACAAUGGGCGCAAGCCUGAUGCAGCCAUGCCGCGUGUAUGAAGAAGGCCUUCGGGUUGUAAAGUACUUUCAGCGGGGAGGAAGGCGAUAAGGUUAAUAACCUUGUCGAUUGACGUACCCGCAGAAGAAGCACCGGCUAUC
rnacentral:rRNA from 1 species